rnacentral:rRNA from 1 species
UACGUAGGGUGCAAGCGUUGUCCGGAAUUAUUGGGCGUAAAGAGCUCGUAGGCGGUUUGUCGCGUCUGCUGUGAAACCUCAAGGCUCAACCUUGAGCUUGCAGUGGGUACGGGCAGACUAGAGUGUGGUAGGGGAGACUGGAAUUCCUGGUGUAGCGGUGAAAUGCGCAGAUAUCAGGAGGAACACCGAUGGCGAAGGCAGGUCUCUGGGCCACUACUGACGCUGAGAAGCGAAAGCAUGGGGAGCGAACAGG